rnacentral:rRNA from 1 species
UAGGGAAUCUUCGGCAAUGGACGGAAGUCUGACCGAGCAACGCCGCGUGAGUGAAGAAGGUUUUCGGAUCGUAAAGCUCUGUUGUAAGAGAAGAACGAGUGUGAGAGUGGAAAGUUCACACUGUGACGGUAUCUUACCAGAAAGGGACGGCUAACUACGUGCCAGCAGCCGCGGUAAUACGUAGGUCCCGAGCGUUGUCCGGAUUUAUUGGGCGUAAAGCAAGCGCAGGCGGUUAGAUAAGUCUGAAGUUAAAGGCUGUGGCUUAACCAUAGUAGGCUUUGGAAACUGUUUAACUUGAGUGCAAGAGGGGAGAGUGGAAUUCCAUGUGUAGCGGUGAAAUGCGUAGAUAUAUGGAGGAACACCGGCGGCGAAAGCGGCUCUCUGGCUUGUAACUGACGCUGAGGCUCGAAAGCGUGGGGAGCAAACAGGAUUAGAUACCCUGGUAGUCCACGCUGUAAACGAUGAGUGCUAGGUGUUAGACCCUUUCCGGGGUUUAGUGCCGUAGCUAACGCAUUAAGCACUCCGCCUGGGGAGUACGACCGCAAGGUUG